ensembl:lncRNA
CGGGAAUGUGGUCCUGGCUAUGACGGUUUACAUGACGGUUACGGUUGCGAUGACAUGAUUUUCUUUGGCUCAUCCAGCCUACAGAAUAAAGUGCCAUAAAAGAACGUCAGAGUCCUGUCUUCAGUGCACUGGAACACAACGCAGUAGUCGGCGAUAUGCAGACCGCGCCGGCUACAUUGGUGCCGUGACCCGGAUCUCAUCGCUUCAGAUCAUCGCCAGGGUUAUCGCCGGAGGUUGCAGUAACGAGUGCAGGCGUGCAGAUGUGAGCAGUUGAAAGCACAGAGACAGAGAGACACAGGGGUGUGGCCGACACAAGGGGAGAACACACAGCACCACAACUGGGGCAACAACAGGAAGUCUGUUCAAGAAAAAAGCUGUUUCAUAUUGGUCGACUUUGCCAACGUUGACACAAGACUAUGGAA